GUAACCGAAACCUAUUGAAAGCAGCAGAAAAGAACAAUCAGAUGAAAUGAUAAAACAAGAAGCCAUGUCAUGUAAUUGAAUGCCAUCUAUCAAGAUUACAGUGAACAGAGAUCUAUUUAGUCAAACUGGCUCCAAGUUCUCUAAAUUAGCCAACCUUUUGCAAUCUCUACAAGCUAUGAAGAAAAACAGAAGUUACCCAUCAAAAGGAGAGAAGAAAC